rnacentral:rRNA from 1 species
AUUGAACGCUGGCGGCAGGCCUAACACAUGCAAGUCGAGCGAGCGGCGGACGGGUGAGUAAUGUAUGGGGACUGCCCGCUAGAGGGGGAUAACUACUGGAAACGGUAGCUAAUACCGCAUACUAUCGGAUAACCCAUAUGGGAUUAGCUAGUAGGUGAGGUAAUGGCUCACCUAGGCGACGAUCCCUAGCUGGUCUUAGAGGAUGAUCAGGCAAACUGGGACUGAGAAAAGGCCCCGACUCCAACGGAGGGAGCCGUGGGGAAUAUUGCAACAUGGGCGCAAGCCUGAUGGCGCCCUGCCGCGGGUAUGAAGAAGGCCCUAGGGUUGUAAAGUACUUUCAGUCGGGAGGCGUUACCGACAGAAGAAGCACCGGCUAACUCCGUGCCAGCAGCCGCGGUAAUAC